rnacentral:rRNA from 1 species
CACGCCGUAAACUAAUGCGCGUUAGGUGUACUGGUGACCACGAGUCACCGGGUGCCGAAGGGAAACCGUGAAACGUGCCGCCUGGGAAGUACGGUCGCAAGGCUGAAACUUAAAGGAAUUGGCGGGGGGAGCACCACAACGGGUGGAGCCUGCGGUUUAAUUGGACUCAACGCCGGAAAUCUCACCGGAUAGGACAGACAUAUGAUAGUCGGGCUGAAGACUCUACUUGAUGAUCUGAGAGGUGGUGCAUGGCGUCAGUGACU